ACAGAGGGAGGAGAGAGAUAGAGGGGACAGAGGGAGAGAGGGAGGAGAGAGGUAGAGGAGCUGGCUCGCUGCUCGUGUGCGGGAGGUGACGGGACGCGGCGCCGGGAGAACUGGAGAUGAGACGGGGGAUGGUCGGCUCCAAGCCCCUGGGUGAGUCUCAGCGGGCCAGAGACAAUGAUGAGAAGGAGGCGGUGAUGGUGCAGAACGAGAGCAAAAUGAAGAGGAUCUUUGGGUUUGAGUUGUCCGAUUUCAGAAGUUGGCAUCGGCUUGUCUGUCUGCUGCAUCGGCCCACCGACCCAGCCUCCCUGGGGGUCUUCAGGCUCCUCUUUGGCUUGCUGAUGACCCUUGACAUUCCACAGGAGCGGGGUCUGAGUUCGCUGGACCAGAAAUACUUUGACGACAUAGUGGUUUGCCGCUUUCCUCUCUUCAACUUCCUGAGGCCGCUUCCUUUGGACUGGAUGUACGUGGUCUUUGUGGUCAUGUGGUUCGGUGCGAUAGGAAUUAUGCUGGGCUGCUUCUACAGACUGUCCUGUCUGAUGUUUUCCAUCACAUACUGGUACAACUUCCUGCUGGAUAAAACAUCUUGGAACAACCACUCCUAUCUGUAUGGCCUCAUUGGCUUCCAGCUCACCUUCAUGGAUGCCAACAGAUACUGGUCGGUUGACGGAUUACGAAACCCAAAGAAGAGGAACGUUCAAGUACCUCUGUGGAACUACACGCUGCUGAGAACACAGAUCUUCAUUGUCUACUUCAUCGCUGGGGUGAAGAAGCUGGAUGCUGAUUGGGUGGAAGGCUACUCCAUGAACCAUCUCGCUGGCCACUGGCUGUUUGAUCCCUUCAAGCUGCUGCUGUCGGAGGAGCUGGUGAACCUGCUGGUGGUCCAUGGUGGUGGCCUGAUGCUGGACCUCACCGCUGGCUACCUGCUCUUCUUCAACGCCACCCGCCCGUUCGCCCUCGCCUUCGUCUCUUACUUCCAUUGCAUGAACUCCCAGCUCUUCAACAUCGGAAUGUUCUCCUACACGAUGCUGGCCACAUCCCCGCUCUUUUGCUACCCCGACUGGCCGAGGCCACUAAUCCGGAGGUUGCCGGCAUUCCUGAGGCACGUGUCCCCCCUCACUGAGACUCCGGGGCGGAGCGCUUCGUGUGUGUAUCCCAGCGACACACAGGGAGGAGAGGGAAUCGGGCAGCGGAGUGGCAGCAGCAGGCGGGCACCACACACACGACGCCAACAGCUCGGGGCAGCCUUCGUUGUCCUCUACAUUGUCGAGCAGUUCUUCCUGCCGUAUUCACACUUCAUCACGCAGGGAUACAAUAACUGGACCAACGGACUGUACGGAUAUUCCUGGGACAUGAUGGUUCAUUCCCGGUCUCACCAACACGUGAAGAUAACCUACAAGGAUGGAGUAACGGGAGAGAUCGGCUACCUCAACCCUGGUGUGUGGACACAAAGUCGUCGGUGGAAGGACCACGCGGACAUGUUGAAACAAUACUCGGGCUGCCUGGCCCAGGAACUGGGCAGAUACAACAUCGUUGACUCCGAGAUCUACUUUGACAUCUGGGUGUCGAUAAACGACAGGUUUCAGCAGAGGCUCUUUGACCCCCGUGUGGACGUGGUGAGGGCGGACUGGUCCCCAUUCAGGAAGACGUCGUGGCUGAUGCCGCUGCUCGUUAACCUCUCACCCUGGAGGUUGAAGUUCGACGAGAUCGAGAAAACUUUGGACAAUCAGACUGACGUGGUUUUCAUUGCAGACUUCCCAGGGCUUCACCUGGAGAACUUUGUGAGUGAGGACCUGGGUAACACAAGCAUCCAGGUGCUGCAGGGAGAGCUGGCCGUGGAGAUAGUGGCCGACAAGAAGAACUUCAGCCUGAAGGAGGGUGAGAAGAUGCAGCUUCCGGCUGGUGAUUACCACCAUGUGUACACCACAUCUGAACAACCGUCCUGUUACAUGUACAUCUAUGUCAACACCACAAUGGUGCAGUUCGAGGAGAAAUACACACGUUUUGUGGAGCUUCAGGAGAAGAUUAAGAAUGGAACGGAAACAGAAGACAUUUCGCCUGAGCUGCAGACUGUGUUGAACGGGACGGUGGAGAACAUCAACAUCACGGACCCCACCUUGGCUGCCUUUGUCCGGCGGCAGAAGAAGCAGGAGGAAUACGCCCGGAGGAGGAACUCAACUACGCUGGAGAGAUUCACCAGAUUCGCUAAACGAAAACACUUCAUCUUUCGAAGGAGCUUCCUGAUGACCGGCUACGCACUGAGGAACCUUGUCUUCGGCCGCCCUCCCGUGGAGCAGCUGGUUGAAGAGUAUGAGUUUGCAUCCAUGAAGUUUGCUGAGGACAUGGAUCGUGAAUCUCAGAUUAAGACAGAAGACCAUGUGGAACUGUGAGAGUGCUACUGCCUUAAAGCAUCGCUGACUAAUGGUUGCAAGGUCCACACCAGCCACCUGAACUGGAUUAGGUUGUUUGUGAAAACCUGUUGUUUUUUCAGUUCAGUGUCGGCUGCAUGGGAUCCGGUUUGUAAAAAAAACCCAAAUCAAUCGUUAAAGAUUGUAAUUAAAUUUCACACUAAGUGCUGAGGGACCAAUUUAAAUGUUUUCCCGAAUGACCAUUGAUACAUUACCGUGAUCCUGAAAGCAUUAUGCUUGACGUUAGAUUUUCUAGCAAAUAAAUGCACUGCACUGCUUACUAUUUCUCAAA